GCUUGAACACGAGGAGAAGAUCAUUCAGCCACAUCUUGAGAAUCUGGAAACAGUCAACUUGGGGUCUGAAGACUGCGUUCGUGAAGUGAAGAUUGGGGCACUCCUUGAAGAGUCUGUUAAGAAGGGGUUGAUUGAUGAGAAUCUGGAAACAGUCAACUUGGGGUCUGAAGACUGCGUUCGUGAAGUGAAGAUUGGGGCACUCCUUGAAGAGUCUGUUAAGAAGGGGUUGAUUGAGUUGCUACGAGAAUAUGUC
rnacentral:lncRNA from 1 species